rnacentral:misc_RNA from 1 species
GGACGGUGCGGAUCCGGCCGGCGUGCGCGCGGGGCCGGUGGCGCCCCUCCCGGCCGCCUCCUCAUCAUCGUCGUCGCUUCAGGCCGCCAUCGAAGCUUCAUGGGGAGGUUGAGGGAGCCGCCGCCUUCACCGUCAACCGGGCCGCCCACCGCCCAUUGCGAGGCUGGCCGAGGUGGAUCCGCCCGCCACCGAACAGCUCAGUGCCGCGGGCUACACCCACCGCCGUCCGCGUCCGCUGCCGAGCCGCUCAGUGCUGCCAUCCGCG